rnacentral:rRNA from 1 species
CAACAGUUGGAAACGACUGCUAAUACCGCAUAAUGUUAUCGAGCGGCAUCGCUUGAUAACCAAAGCUUUAUGUGCUGAAAGAUGGACUCGCGUCUGAUUAGCUAGUUGGUGAGGUAACGGCUCACCAAGGCGACGAUCAGUAGCCGGACUGAGAGGUUGACCGGCCACAUUGGGACUGAGAUACGGCCCAGACUCCUACGGGAGGCAGCAGUGGGGAAUAUUGGGCAAUGGACGCAAGUCUGACCCAGCAACGCCGCGUGAAGGAAGAAGGCUUUCGGGUUGUAAACUUCUUUUAAGGGGGAAGAGUAGAAGACGGUACCCCUAGAAUAAGCCACGGCUAACUACGUG